UUAAAUCAAGAUGUGCAUGUGUGAUGGAGUAAAUGAUAGUGAUGGUGAAAAUGCAUAAGUGUUAAUAAUAAAAUUUAGUUCUCAUUGCUCCUUAUAUUGCUAUCUCUCCUCUUCUUUGAUCUUUGCUUUGGGAGAACAUGGGCUAUCUUUUUCUUCUUCUCUCUUUUUUUUAAGGUGGGUAGUAGAUACCCCUAAUUCUACUGUCGGACACUCGUCCAUUUUUUCCGCUCAAGUGGGCAUCUUUGUACCCCUAAUUCUACUCCGGACACUUGUCCAUUUUUACCUCUCGUCUCACUCUUUUUCUUUCUUUUUCGAGGUUCCGGGCACUUGCCCCUUUUUAUUUCCUCGUGUAUUUUUGCAUAACCCAUGCCUCUUCUGCAUUAAAUCUUUUUAGAGAGAGAAUAACAAUAUUCGGGACAGUGAGUGAUUAUAUUUUUAGCAAUUUUAAUGAUUGGUGAUGAAUGUUGUGGUAGAUGUGUGCAAGUGAAUAUCUUAAUUUAACCACAUGAAAAGCUCCUAAGGGUCUACACAGCUCGAUUAAACUCAAUGUGAAUAUAGUAAAAGAUGUUAUAGCAAGUAUGGCUGUGGUAGGUAGUUUUGUUAUGCUAGGAACUCAUCAUGUGAUUUGUAAGUUUUCAAAAUAAAUCUCCAGAAC
rnacentral:lncRNA from 1 species